rnacentral:rRNA from 1 species
GACGAACGCUGGCGGCGUGCUUAACACAUGCAAGUCGUACGGUAAGGCCCUUUCGGUGGUACACGAGUGGCGAACGGGUGAGUAACACUUGCGUAACCUGCCCAUAACUUUGGGAUAACGCUAGGAAACUGGUGCUAAUACUGGAUAUGUGCUCCUGCUUCAUGGUGGUGGUUGGAAAGCUCCGGCGGUUGUGGGUGGACUCGCAGCCUAUCAGCUUGUUGGUGUGGCAGUGGACUACCGAGGCGGCGUCGGGUAGCCGGCCUGGGAGAGUGACCGGCGACACUGGGACUGACAGACGGCCCAGAUACCUAAGGGACGGAGAAGGGCGGAAGCUUGACGAAUGAGCGCCAGGCUGAUGCAGAAACUCCGCGGGCGGGAAGACGGUCUUAGGGUUGUAAAACGCUUUCAGAAGGAACGAAGCUUUUUGUGACGGUACCUGAAGAAGAAGCCACGGCUAACUACGUG